rnacentral:rRNA from 1 species
CCUACGGGAGGCAGCAGUGGGGAAUAUUGGGCAAUGGCCGAAAGGCUGACCCAGCAACGCCGCGUGGUGGAAGAAGCCCUUCGUGGUGUGAACACCUUUUCUGGGGGAAGAUAAUGACGGUACCCCAGGGAUAAGGGACGGCUAACUACGUGCCAGCAGCCGCGGUAAU